ensembl:misc_RNA Y_RNA Y RNA
GCCUCGUCUGAAGGUAGUGAGUUACCUCAAUUGUUUGUUCACAGUGAAUUACAGAUCGAAAUCCUUGUUCUACCUCUUUCCCACUUCUCCCUACUGCACUUGACUGGUCUUAA